CUGAACCAGUUUCUGCAGGCCCAUUGCCAGGGACACCCGAAUCACAAAAGUCGACAUCAGAGUCAACUUCAGACAGGUGGCCAGACGUGUCUACACACACAGU